CCGCACUUUUUCUACCGGUCAACAAUGUUUUUCUCUCAUAAUUAAUAAAUAAGCUAAUAGUAAUUUUAACCAUAACUUUUCAGACCAACGAAUAGGCUCGUUAAACUUUGCAGUAAGAGGCCAUCUAAGAAUUUUAGGAGUUGAACGUUGUCUCGUUAGAUAUGCAUUGGAUAUUAUUUAGAAAUCAGUUACUUAAUUAUUUUGAGUCAACUGCUACUGUAGCCAUAGGACGUAGCGGCAGUCUCACCAGAGGAAGGGGUUGUAUUGUCAGAACCUAAAGGAGCUAGUACAUGUUGGGGGUGCCUAUAGUCAUGGGUAUACUUAUCAAGGAAUAUAUAUAGGUUUUUAUUGGAUAUUUGCCCUUGUUUAGUUUAGACCCAAAUUUUUUCUAGAUUUUGACACUGUAACGUUUUUGUUUUUAUUUAAUAAAUAUUGUCCAUUUAUAGACUAUAUGUAAUUAAUAAUUUUUUAUCUAUAUUUAAUACUCUAUACAUGUGCCGCAAGAUUUGAUGUGAUGAGAAAUCUUGUAAACUUUUGGGUUUUUGAGUGCACCUUAGUUCGUGGAUGAAAAGUUUGCAGUUGCCAUAUCGGAUAUUUCAUAGGAUGUUAGAAGGGGUUUUAGGAUACUAAUUAAAAAAACUAGUUACAUAACUCAUUUGGAAAUCGUGAGAUAAAUUUAUGAAGCCUAAUUAAUCCGUCAUUCGCGCAUAUGUUUAUUGUAACAAUAUGACUAAUCAUAGACUAAUUAGGUUUAAAAGAUUCGUCUCGAGGAUUUCAUGCAUACUAUGCAAUUAGUUAUUUUUUAUCUAUAUUUAAUGCUCUAUGCAUGCGUCUAAAUAUUUGAUGGAACAUGAUGAAAUGUUUUUGGGUGUCAAUUAGGCCUUGUUUAGUUUCCAAUUUUUUUGGUUUUAAAUACUGUAGCAUUUUUAUUUUUAUUUGGCAAAUUAUUGUUCAAUCAUAGACUAAUUAGGCUAAAAAAAUUCCUCUUGCGAUUUACAAGCAAACUUUACAAUUAGUUUAUGUUUUUAUCUAUAUUUAAUGAUCUAUGUAUGUUCCACAAGGUGACGGGGAAUCUUAAUUUUUUUUUAGUUUUUGGGGUGAACUAAACAAGGCCUAAACGAGGCAGUGAUAGUCUACCUAUCACUGUCUGUUUGAGGCUUGAACUAAUAGUGAAUAGUGAUAGCUAUUUUUCGUAAAAAAAUCGCUGUUAAGAUAAUUCUUUUAUCAAUACUGUACAGUUUAAAGAGAUCUGCUCCCUCAUUUAAGUGCACAUCUCGCACUUCAAGUAGUCAACAAAUUCUAAGUUUGUUCAAAUAUUUUUUUUGCUAUAUAAAGUAUUAAUAUUUAUAAUAUGAAACAAACCUCAUUAGAUGAAUCACAUCAUAUAUUUUAAUUUGAUAACUUUUUAAUUUAAUAUGGUUUACAAGCCCAAAAUUCAAAUACGAAUUCUCUUGGAUCAGAUUUGAUAGGUUGGGGCAACCGGCUAUGAUAACAAAACCAUAUCACUGUCUUUUUUUUUCCACUGCCGGUUCGUUUUCCAGCAGCGAUGAAGGAAUUGAGAUUAGGCGGUGAUGGUCUUUUAUGUUGUUGUGGGGGAAUCACGGUUGUCUUCGGCUCUUCUCAACCUUGCUGUUGCUCGCGCACCAUGGUCCGAAAUGCUGUGUGCCUACUGUGUGAGGCCGAGAGCGUGACCACGCCCGGCUGAUGUAGCGGCUGAAAGCUAAGGGGUGUUCGUAGAAUCCAAAAUGCAAAAUAUCAACUACUUUGAAGUGAUAAAAUAUAAAAUGCCAACAUUUUUAGAGUCAUGUUUAGUUUCAUCCAAAAUACAAAAUUUAUUGUCCUCAUGA
rnacentral:lncRNA from 1 species